GGUUGAGAAGCAUUACGCAAGUUGCAAGCAAAAUUGAAACCAGCCAAUAGUUGUCCCUUUGAUAUAAUACGGCGAGGUGCUAACAUCUUCCUUCAGGUGAUAUAUGCAACAAAACUGAUAUCAUAGACGUAGAAACAAUUCUGGGGACGAGGUUGUGAAUAAAAUCACCGCGGAACAACAACAAUUCGUUGCGCUAAAGUAGUGCUUUUUUGGCGAUAUAUUUAAUGAUAUAUAUUUGCAGUUUAAAAGAUUGCAUACAAUGCGAGCGAGAGAUGUUAUCUUUCAAUAUGUGAGAUAAAAAGAAGAAAGCGAAACCUCACACCGCGUUGUCAUUGUUUUUUUGUCAAAAAUGUGAAGCUGUUUUAUAAAUCUUGAUAAAGUUAAUAAAUUGUUUUCGUUUGUGUAGAUUGUUUGUUUUUAUUUAUUGUAUCCCGUAAGUUUUUGAAAUUCAUUGUAACAGAUUCCGUGGCUUCAAGGAAUUGAUUUUCAUAACUAGUGACGGUAUAUUUACAUGAAAAGAACACCACAAACUGCUUCGUUCGUCUUCUCAUCUCCGAAAUCGUUAACUCGAAAGUCUCUAUAACAUUAUCUUUGACCCGAGUAUCAACUUCCGGUUGAAAGGGCGUACCUUACGACGCGCAUCCCCUUAAUUUGUGGCAUUUUCGCACACUACGGGUUGUACAACUCAAUGUAUUGCAUAUCUUUCAGAAUAAGGGUUUUAGCGUUAUAAAGUAUAACUUUGCAUGAAUUACUGGCGCUAAAAGCUUCAUAAAUUUUGAAUUUACGUUACCAAGACUGACAAUAUGGAAAUAAAUUUCUCAGUAAUCGUUUUUGUUUAGUUUCGCGCGAUCUAAUUUUCUCGCACCUUCUGAAAAGAAAUAUUCCGCGCAUGUUGAAUUUUCGCCAAAAAAUCACUACUUUAGCGCAACGAAUUGUUGUUGUUCCGCGGUAAUU